AACGCUGGGGGCGCUAGCUGCAGUCGAAAGGCGAAGCUUUUCAGUAGUUUACUACAGAAAUGACGCGGCGACGGGUGAGUACGCGUGAGCAAUCUACCUUAGUUACAGGAUAGCCCGGAGGAAACUCGGAUUAAUACCUGACUAUUCUCUUAUUUCUCCGCAUGAGAAUAAAAGGAAAGGUCAGCCGAACUAAGAUGAGCUCGCGUUCUAUCAGCUAGUUGGUGAGGUAAAAGCUCACCAAGGCUACGACGGAUAGCUGGUCUGAGAGGACGAUCAGCCACACUGGGACUGAGACACGGCCCAGACUCCUACGGGAGGCUGCAGCAGGGAAUAUUGCGCAAUGAGCGAAAGCUUGACGCAGCGACACCGCGUGUGGGAUGACGGAUCUAGGUUUGUAAACCACUUUCAGGAGGGAAGAGAAUGACGGUACCUCCACAAGAAGCCCCGGCCAACUACGUGCCAGCAGCCGCGGUAAUACGUAGGGGGCGAGCGUUGUCCGGAUUUA
rnacentral:rRNA from 1 species